UACGGAGGGUGCAAGCGUUAUCCGGAUUUACUGGGUUUAAAGGGUGUGUAGGCGGAUUUUUAAGUCAGAGGUGAAAUCUCCAGGCUCAACCUGGAAACUGCCCCUGAUACUAUUAGUCUUGAAUAUUGAUGAGGUGGGCGGAACGGGUCAUGUAGCGGUGAAAUGCUUAGAGAUGACCCGGAACACCAAUUGCGAAGGCAGCUCACUGGGCAAUAAUUGACGCUGAGGCACGAAAGCGUGGGGAUCAAACAGG
rnacentral:rRNA from 1 species